rnacentral:rRNA from 1 species
AGUGGCGCACGGGUGCGUAACGCGUGGGAAUCUGCCCUUGGGUUCGGAAUAACGUCGGGAAACUGACGCUAAUACCGGAUGAUGACGUAAGUCCAAAGAUUUAUCGCCCAGGGAUGAGCCCGCGUAGGAUUAGCUAGUUGGUGGGGUAAAGGCCUACCAAGGCGACGAUCCUUAGCUGGUCUGAGAGGAUGAUCAGCCACACUGGGACUGAGACACGGCCCAGACUCCUACGGGAGGCAGCAGUAGGGAAUAUUGGACAAUGGGCGCAAGCCUGAUCCAGCAAUGCCGCGUGAGUGAUGAAGGCCUUAGGGUUGUAAAGCUCUUUUACCAGGGAUGAUAAUGACAGUACCUGGAGAAUAAGCUCCGGCUAACUCCGUGCCAGCAGCCGCGGUAAUACGGAGGGAGCUAGCGUUGUUCGGAAUUACUGGGCGUAAAGCGCACGUAGGCGGCUUUUUAAGUUAGGGGUGAAAUCCCGGGGCUCAACCCCGGAACUGCCCUUGAAACUGGGAAGCUAGGAUCUUGGAGAGGCGAGUGGAAUUCCGAGUGUAGAGGUGAAAUUCGUAGAUAUUCGGAAGAACACCAGUGGCGAAGGCGGUCAACUGGCCUGGUACUGACGCUGAGGCGCGAAAGCGUGGGGAUCAAACAGGAUUAGAUACCCUGGUAGUCCACGCCGUAAACGAUGGAAGCUAGCCGUU